UUGAUCAGCAUGGACAUGGUUUGAUGUGUGUUCGGUACCACAUAACAUGCGAGAAUACCUUCUCCAGUAUGUUGGAGAGAAGAUUAGCAAGAAAAAGGCGGGUGAGAAAAUGAGAAGUUGACAGAAAAAGAUGUUUUUCAUUAUCGAAAGGGACAUGUACAACAUCCAUAAUGGUGUGUCUGAUGGAAUUUGUCAUUUCAUUAAUAAAUAAUGCUGAUAAAGAUGCAAACUUAGCAAUUGUGCCUAAAAAGUGACAGCUUUGACAAGGAAAUAUAUCCAUAUAUAACAGUUACUGGUACUGUCUGAAUGCAGUGAAAGGAUCCAGAUGAACAGAUGA